ACCGUGCUGCGCAGUGCGUGAAUGCGGCUUUAUCUCGGUGGUCGAUGCUUCUUUGCAUAGGGAGCUGUCCCUGUUUUUGUCCAAUCGGUUCGCCCGGGGGGCUUAGAUAUUAACGGCACCCACCUGAUAUUCAGGACCUGCGAAGAUACUAUACGCACACGGCUGACGCGGCACACUU
rnacentral:other from 1 species